rnacentral:rRNA from 1 species
CCCAUUGCUACCAUCACAUGGCCUCAUUUUCAGGAUGCUUUUCGUGUUGCACAUGUGUCUGCUGGUGCUAUGAGUCUGCAAAAGAAGGACUUUCGCAGUUUGCGCCAGGGAGGUCGCACAAUUAAUGCUUAUGUGGAGGAAUUUAAUAAUCUUGCACGUUAUGCUCCUAAUGAUGUUAACACUGAUGCAGCUAGGCGGGAGAAAUUUUUGGAGGGCCUAAAUGAUGACUUGAGCCUUCAGUUGACAGUGGCUGCUUUUAGGAAUUGUCAGGACCUAAUUGAUAAGGCCAUUGUGUUGGAGGGAAAGCAACAUGCCAUAGAGAAUCACAAGAGGAAGUACAACAACAAUAACAGGUAUAAUUCAGGACCAGAGCAGAAACCACGCACUUCAUAUCAUGGUAAUGGAGGUAAUGGACAUAAUCAUCAUGGAGGUAAUGAUCAUAAUCAUCAUGGAGGGAAUGGCCACAACCAUAAUGGACACCAUCAUCAUAAUGGGCACAAGAGUAACAAUGGCAAUGGCAGAGGUAAUGGUAAUGGUAAUGGCAAUGGAGGGAACAAUAACCAGAACCACCAGGUUACACGUGCGCCUAGGGAUUUGAGUCUGGUGCAGUGCUUCAGGUGUAAGGCUAUGGGGCACUAUGCCACAGAUUGCCCGGGGGCGAAGAACUCAGGAUCCAGCAAGCCAAACCCCUUCCAAAAGGGUCAUGUAAAUCAUGUUAAUGUGGAGGAGGUUUACAAUGAACCUGAUGCAGUGAUUGAUUGUCCGGAGUGUGACGCG